UGCUUAACACAUGCAAGUCGAACGGUCUUUUCGGAGAUAGUGGCGGACGGGUGAGUAACGCGUGAGAACAUGCCUAUCGAUUGGGGACAACAGUUGGAAACGACUGCUAAUACCGAAUGUGCCUUAGGGUGAAAGAUUUAUCGUCGAUAGAUUGGCUCGCGUCAGAUUAGCUAGUUGGUGAGGUAAAGGCUCACCAAGGCGACGAUCUGUAACUGGUCUGAGAGGAUGACCAGUCACACUGGAACUGAGACACGGUCCAGACUCCUACGGGAGGCAGCAGUGGGGAAUUUUCCGCAAUGGGCGAAAGCCUGACGGAGCAAUACCGCGUGUGGGAGGACGCUUUUUGGAGUGUAAACCACUUUUAUUAGGGAAGAAGAACUGACGGUACCUAAUGAAUCAGCAUCGGCUAACUCCGUGCCAGCAGCCGCGGUAAUACGGGGGAUGCAAGCGUUAUCCGGAAUUAUUGGGCGUAAAGCGUCCGUAGGUGGCUUAUCAAGUCUGUUGUCAAAGCGUGCGGCUUAACCGCAUACGGGCGAUGGAAACUGAUGAGCUAGAGUGCGAUAGGGGUCAGGGGAAUUCCCGGUGUAGCGGUGAAAUGCGUAGAUAUCGGGAAGAACACCAGUGGCGAAAGCGCCUGACUGGGUCUGCACUGACACUGAGGGACGAAAGCUAGGGGAGCGAAAAGGGAUUAGAUACCCCUGUAUUCCUAAGCCUUAACGAUGACAAACUUGGUGU
rnacentral:rRNA from 1 species